GCCCUCGUAGCUCAAUUGGACAGAGCGUUUGCUUGCGGAGCAAAAGGUUCCAGAUUCGAGUUCUGGCGGGGGCA
rnacentral:tRNA from 1 species